UACGUAGGGUGCAGGCGUUAAUCGGAAUUACUGGGCGUAAAGCGCACGCAGGUGGCUGAGUCAGUCGAUUGUGAAAGCCCUGGGCUUAACCUGGGAAUUGCAGUCGAUACUACUCAGCUAGAGUAUGGGAGAGGGUAGUGGAAUUCCCGGUGUAGCGGUGAAAUGCGUAGAUAUCGUAAGGAAGACCAGUGGCGAAGGCAGGUCUCUGGGCAUUAACUGACGCUGAGGAGCGAAAGCAUGGGGAGCGAACAGG
rnacentral:rRNA from 1 species